AUUGGGACUGAGAUACGGCCCAGACUCCUACGGGAGGCAGCAGUGGGGAAUAUUGCACAAUGGGCGCAAGCCUGAUGCAGCGACGCCGCGUGCGGGAUGACGGCCUUCGGGUUGUAAACCGCUUUUGACUGGGAGCAAGCCCUUCGGGGUGAGUGUACCUUUCGAAUAAGCACCGGCUAACUACGUGCCAGCAGCCGCGGUAAUACGUAGGGUGCAAGCGUUAUCCGGAAUUAUUGGGCGUAAAGGGCUCGUAGGCGGUUCGUCGCGUCCGGUGUGAAAGUCCAUCGCUUAACGGUGGAUCCGCGCCGGGUACGGGCGGGCUUGAGUGCGGUAGGGGAGACUGGAAUUCCCGGUGUAACGGUGGAAUGUGUAGAUAUCGGGAAGAACACCAAUGGCGAAGGCAGGUCUCUGGGCCGUCACUGACGCUGAGGAGCGAAAGCGUGGGGAGCGAACAGGAUUAGAUACCCUGGUAGUCCACGCCGUAAACGGUGGAUGCUGGAUGUGGGGACCAUUCCACGGUCUCCGUGUCGGAGCCAACGCGUUAAGCAUCCCGCCUGGGGAGUACGGCCGCAAGGCUAAAACUCAAAGAAAUUGACGGGGGCCCGCACAAGCGGCGGAGCAUGCGGAUUAAUUCGAUGCAACGCGAAGAACCUUACCUGGGCUUGACAUGUUCCCGACGACGCCAGAGAUGCCGUUUCCCUUCGGGGCGGGUUCACAGGUGGUGCAUGGUCGUCGUCAGCUCGUGUCGUGAGAUGUUGGGUUAAGUCCCGCAACGAGCGCAACCCUCGCCCUGUGUUGCCAGCACGUCGUGGUGGGAACUCACGGGGGACCGCCGGGGUCAACUCGGAGGAAGGUGGGGAUGACGUCAGAUCAUCAUGCCCCUUACGUCCAGGGCUUCACGCAUGCUACAAUGGCCGGUACAACGGGAUGCGACCUCGUGAGGGGGAGCGGAUCCCUUAAAACCGGUCUCAGUUCGGAUUGGAGUCUGCAACCCGACUCCAUGAAGGCGGAGUCGCUAGUAAUCGCGGAUCAGCAACGCCGCGGUGAAUGCGUUCCCGGGCCUUGUACACACCGCCCGUCAAGUCAUGAAAGUGGGUAGCACCCGAAGCCGGUGGCCCAACCUUUUGGGGGGAGCCGUCUAAGGUGAGACUCGUGAUUGGGACUAAGUCGUAACAAGGUAGCCGUACCGGAAGGUGCGGCUG
rnacentral:rRNA from 1 species